UGUCUUUAUUAUUAUUUUGUUACGGAAAAGGUAUAAAUCAGAGAUUAAACUAGACAAAGAUAAUACACCUUUCUCAUUCACGUUUACUGCAACAUUCUACUACCAGCUGCCAAUAUGAGGAAUCUUCAGGUUAGUGUUUGUGUGAUUAUGAUCACUACUGUGUUGUCCAAGUCUGUGGAUACCCUUCACAGAGAAAGACGCCAGACCAACUACCCUGGAUAUGUGGCGGGUAACCCUGCAGCCCAGCAAGCACCUCAGUACGCUUUAUUUAAUUAUGCUUCAAGCGGUAAUGCAGCAGCUGUAAAUGCACAAGCGAACAAUGCCGGUGGUGGAAAACAAAA